GGAUGUGUGGUAUCUCAGAGCCUAUCGAUUACCAGGGCUUGCUCAGCUGAACUGAUUGGGUAGCUGGGUGUCCCCUCCUGCCUCACUGCGCCAUGUGCAUCCCUGCUGGUGGAAGAGGAAGAGGACAACCUUGUCUGAUAGAAGAAGACUGCUUCCUCAACCAAAGUUACUAAUAGUAGCUGCACUGCCCUGAGGGAACCUCUAAACAAGCACUCAAGUCACUAAUAGUAGCUGCACUGCCCUGAGGGAACCUCUAAACAAGCACUCAAGUAGGCAAAACCUCUUCACAUAGCUCUAAAAAUGGCAGUUAUACGUG
rnacentral:snRNA from 1 species